rnacentral:rRNA from 1 species
AGUGAACGCUGGCGGCAGGCCUAACACAUGCAAGUCGAGCGGCAGCGGGUUCCCGCGAGGGGAUGCCGGCGAGCGGCGGACGGGUGAGGAACACAUCGGAAUCUGCCUGGUUGUGGGGGAUAACGUAGGGAAACUUACGCUAAUACCGCAUGCGACCCUGAGUCGACGGACUGGGGGUGAAAGUGAGGGACCUUCGGGCCUCACGCGACCAGAUGAGCCGAUGUCGGAUUAGCUAGUUGGCGGGGUAACGGCCCGCCAAGGCGACGAUCCGUAGCUGGUCUGAGAGGAUGAUCAGCCACACUGGGACUGAGACACGGCCCAGACUCCUACGGGAGGCAGCAGUGGGGAAUCUUGGACAAUGGGCGCAAGCCUGAUCCAGCCAU